rnacentral:ncRNA from 1 species
CUAUAAGCGUUGAUUGGGAAGAGUACACGAUCAUUCGUUCUUCAGAGAAGAAAUUCAUUUGCUGAGAGAAUUUCCAGAAUCGAAUCCGUCGAAGUCCCCCAUGAGCUGCUUAAAUGAACAGGAGAAAGCUCCUUAUUAGUUUAUAGCCGGUUAAACACCGUUAACGGAAUUAAGUGCACAAAGUCUAGUUGAUUUGUGUAAAAAGGUGGUACCGCGAAUUCGCUCCUUUCGUCCUUUUA